rnacentral:snRNA from 1 species
AAAGUUGUUUAGCAAUAUCCAAAAAAAAAAAAAAAAAAAAAUUUGUUCUUAUCGGUUUAAUUUCUGAUACGCCUCCCCCCCGGGACCUAUAUUUUAAAUUGAUUUUUGGAUCACGGAGCUGGAGGCGGGGCUUGCUCUGUUCACUCCACGCAUCGGCCUGGUAUUGCAGUGUCUCCAGGAGCGGUGUGCUUCCC